GACGAACGCUGGCGGCGUGCUUAACACAUGCAAGUCGAACGGUGAAGCGGGUGCUUGCACUCGUGGAUCAGUGGCGAACGGGUGAGUAACACGUGAGUAACCUGCCCUCCACUCUGGGAUAAGCGCUGGAAACGGCGUCUAAUACUGGAUAUGACCGACCCUCGCAUGGGGGUGUUGGUGGAAAGAUUUAUCGGUGGUGGAUGGACUCGCGGCCUAUCAGCUUGUUGGUGGGGUAAUGGCCUACCAAGGCGACGACGGGUAGCCGGCCUGAGAGGGCGACCGGCCACACUGGGACUGAGACACGGCCCAG
rnacentral:rRNA from 1 species